GAGUGAUCACUUAAUUUUUUUUUUCUUGGGUCAAAAAGAUAUCCAUUUUAUCAAAUCAAGAAAGAGUUAAUCUUAUUUUUCCAACUUUGCCCCUAUUAAGUGUUGUGUGAUAAAAUCCCAAUGCCUAUUUAAUUAGGGGUAGUUUAGUCAAAUUACCUAUUUUUGCGUAAGAGUUAGUAUUUUUUAAGGGGUGUGCAAAUAGCUAAGUGUACACUCUUUUUGAUCC